rnacentral:rRNA from 1 species
AACGAACGCUGGCGGCAUGCCUAACACAUGCAAGUCGAGCGCAGGAAGCCGUCUGAACCCUUCGGGGGGACGACGGUGGAAUGAGCGGCGGACGGGUGAGUAACACGUAAAGAACCUGCCCAUAGGUCUGGGAUAACCACGAGAAAUCGGGGCUAAUACCGGAUGUGUCAUCGGACCGCAUGGUCCGCUGAGGAAAGGCGCUCCGGCGUCGCCCAUGGAUGGCUUUGCGGUGCAUUAGCUAGUUGGUGGGGUAACGGCCCGCCAAGGCGACGAUGCAUAGCCGACCUGAGAGGGUGAUCGGCCACACUGGGACUGAGACACGGCCCAGACUCCUACGGGAGGCAGCAGUAGGGAAUCUUCCACAAUGGACGAAAGUCUGAUGGAGCAACGCCGCGUGAACGAUGAAGGCUUUCGGGUCGUAAAGUUCUGUCGUAAGGGAAGAACAAGUGCCGCAGGCAAUGGCGGCACCUUGACGGUACCUUGCGAGAAAGCCACGGCUAACUACGUGCCAGCCGCCGCCGUAA